CACGUAGGCGGAUUUGUAAGUCAGGGGUGAAAUCCCGGGGCUCAACCUCGGAACUGCCUUUGAUACUGCAAGUCUCGAGUCCGAUAGAGGUGGGUGGAAUUCCUAGUGUAGAGGUGAAAUUCGUAGAUAUUAGGAAGAACACCGGUGGCGAAGGCGGCCCACUGGAUCGGUACUGACGCUGAGGUGCGAAAGCGUGGGGAGAAC
rnacentral:rRNA from 1 species